CGGAGCAAGUGUCCCUAAGCUGCUUCUUGAUUAUGUCUUCUCUGCUUCAUCAAGCCACCACCGGAGCUUCUCUCCUUCAUCAAGCCACUACCGGAGCUUCUCGUCUUCUCUGCUUCAUCAAGCCACCACCGUGCUUCUCUGCUUCAUCAAGCCACCACCGGAGCUUCUCUACUUCAUCAAGCCUCCACGGGAGCUUCUCUGAUGCAACGGAUCCAAGUCCAGAACCUCCUGAAGCAAAAAUAACCUGAGAGAAAAUCUGUUGAGAGGCUUGUCCCAUCUUCAUCAGCUUUUUCUUCGCUAUCAGGAACAUGGCUGAGAAAGUACCGUCAUUUAAAACCAGUGGAACUCUUUGGUUUACUGAUCUCACCACUGCAGAUACUACAUAUAUCUUGCCACUUCUCACCGCCAUCAUUUUCAUAAUUAUGGUGGAGUCGAACAUGCAGGAAGGUAUGGAAGGGAAUCCAGUAGCUGGAACUAUGAAGAAAUUCUCAAGAAUCAUUGCCUUUCUCUUUAUUCCAAUUCUGAUGGGCAUUGAAAAGGUAACUAUUACUCUCCCUCCCUCUCUUGACUCUUUGAUGUUGAUAAUAAGCAAUGAUUUUUUUUGGGCAUGCAUUGUUCUGUUACCGGCUCACUUCCAACCUGUUUACUCUUGGGUAUGGAUUA